CACAUUGGCUGGCUGCUAGCAGAUUGUCCAGAGGUCCCCCUGACCAAGGUGUAACUCAUGAAGGGCGUCACUGCCCGCUGAUUUCCCUUUUCACUCAGUUCCAUCUUUUUCAUGGAUUUCCAUUUGGACUAAAAUGGAUCCUGUCCAUUGACUAGUCAGCUAUUCUUGUCAAAUUUAGAUAUGCAGGACAUUCCAAAUCAUUUCAGAGGA
rnacentral:lncRNA from 1 species